GGACCCGCACAAGUAGUGGAGCAUGUGGUUUAAUUCGAAGAUACGCGCAGAACCUUACCAACACUUGACAUGUUCGUCGCGACUUUAAGAGAUUAAAGUUUUCGGUUCGGCCGGACGAAACACAGGUGCUGCAUGGCUGUCGUCAGCUCGUGUCGUGAGAUGUUGGGUUAAGUCCCGCAACGAGCGCAACCCUCACUUUUAGUUGCCAUCAUUAAGUUGGGCACUCUGAAAGAACUGCCAGUGAUAAGCUGGAGGAAGGUGGGGAUGACGUCAAGUCCUCAUGGCCCUUACGUGUUGGGCUACACACGUGCUACAAUGGUAUUUACAACAGGAAGCAAGACUGCGAAGUUAAGCAAAUCCCUAAAAAAUACCUCAGUUCGGAUUGCACUCUGCAACUCGAGUGCAUGAAGCUGGAAUUACUAG
rnacentral:rRNA from 1 species